rnacentral:rRNA from 1 species
GCUCAGAUUGAACGCUGGCGGCAGGCCUAACACAUGCAAGUCGAGCCGGUAGAGAGAAGCUUGCUUCUCUUGAGAGCGGCGGACGGGUGAGUAAUGCCUAGGAAUCUGCCUGGUAGUGGGGGAUAACGUUCGGAAACGAACGCUAAUACCGCAUACGUCCUACGGGAGAAAGCAGGGGACCUUCGGGCCUUGCGCUAUCAGAUGAGCCUAGGUCGGAUUAGCUAGUUGGUGAGGUAAUGGCUCACCAAGGCGACGAUCCGUAACUGGUCUGAGAGGAUGAUCAGUCACACUGGAACUGAGACACGGUCCAGACUCCUACGGGAGGCAGCAGUGGGGAAUAUUGGACAAUGGGCGAAAGCCUGAUCCAGCCAUGCCGCGUGUGUGAAGAAGGUCUUCGGAUUGUAAAGCACUUUAAGUUGGGAGGAAGGGCAUUAACCUAAUACGUUAGUGUUUUGACGUUACCGACAGAAUAAGCACCGGCUAAC